AAGAAGCCCCGGCUAACUACGUGCCAGCAGCCGCGGUGAUACGUAGGGUGCGAGCGUUGUCCGGAUUUAUUGGGCGUAAAGGGCUCGUAGGUGGUUGAUCGCGUCGGAAGUGUAAUCUUGGGGCUUAACCCUGAGCGUGCUUUCGAUACGGGUUGACUUGAGGAAGGUAGGGGAGAAUGGAAUUCCUGGUGGAGCGGUGGAAUGCGCAGAUAUCAGGAGGAACACCAGUGGCGAAGGCGGUUCUCUGGGCCUUUCCUGACGCUGAGGAGCGAAAGCGUGGGGAGCGAACAGGCUUAGAUACCCUGGUAGUCCACGCUGUAAACGGUGGGUACUAGGUGUGGGGUCCAUUCCACGGGUUCCGUGCCGUAGCUAACGCUUUAAGUACCCCGCCUGGGGAGUACGGCCGCAAGGCUAAAACUCAAAGGAAUUGACGGA
rnacentral:rRNA from 1 species